UACGGAGGGGGCAAGCGUUUUUCGGAUUUACUGGGCGUAAAGCGCACGUAGGCGGCAAAGCAAGUCAAAGGUGAAAGCCCUCAGCUCAACUGAGGAAUUGCCUUUGAAACUGCUCUGCUUGAGUCCGGGAGGGGGGAGCGGAAUUCCCAGUGUAGCGGUGAAAUGCGUAGAUACUGGGAGGAACACCAGUGGCGAAGGCGGCUCCCUGGACCGGCACUGACGCUGAGGUGCGAAAGCGUGGGUAGCAAACAGG
rnacentral:rRNA from 1 species